rnacentral:rRNA from 1 species
UUUUCACGUGACCACUAGCAGGGCAUGUAGUUAAUUUAAGCUUAUAAGUUAAUACACAAAGAAACUAAACAGGAUGGACCGAGUAGUGGCGAAUGAAAAGUCCAAAGACCGAUCCGAAUUCAAGUUGUGGAUCCUACACGUCGGAAGACUCCAAAUCACCUGGAACGGUGGGCCGUAGAGAGUGAUAGCCUCUUUAGAGUCGGAAGACGCGUAAACAGACUGAGUAGUAUUUGUUGGGAAGCAAAUACGAACGGGUGAUAAAAGUCAUCCAAGUCUAAACAGAUCAGCACACCGAUAGCAAACAAGUAUUGCGAAUAAAACAUGAAAAGUACUCCUGGAGGAGGGUUAAACUCCUAAAAAGCUAAAAAUAAAGU